rnacentral:rRNA from 1 species
UACGUAGGGUGCAGGCGUUAAUCGGAAUUACUGGGCGUAAAGCGUGCGCAGGCGGUUUGCUAAGACAGGUGUGAAAUCCCCGGGCUUAACCUGGGAACUGCGCUUGUAACUGGCAAGCUAGAGUGUGGCAGAGGGGGGUGGAAUUCCAGGUGUAGCGGUGAAAUGCGUAGAUAUCAGGAGGAACACCUAUGGCGAAAGCGGCUCACUGGACCAUAACUGACGCUGAUGCACGAAAGCUAGGGGAUCAAACAGG